rnacentral:snoRNA from 1 species
UGGAGGACUGAGAAGGUUGAACAGCUUGUGUUGUGCUGUUGUAACUGGUUAUUACCUCCAAGAGUAACACACUAACUGCACAAUUAAAUCACUCUGUUCUAGGCAGAGCUGAUACGUGUGUUUGUGGGACAUUUU